UUGGCUUGCGCGGUCUACCAUGCAGUCGAGGGGUAUCGGUUUCGGCCGAGAGACCGGCGCACGGGUGCGUAACGCGUAUGUAACCUGCCUCACACUGGGGGAUAGCCUUCCGAAAGGGAGAUUAAUACCGCAUAAUAAUAUUGUUCUGCCUGGGAUGAUAUUUAAAGCUUCGGUGGUGUGAGAUGGACAUGCGUAUGAUUAGCUAGUUGGCGGGGUAACGGCCCACCAAGGCGACGAUCAUUAGGGGUUCUGAGAGGAAGAUCCCCCACACUGGUACUGAGACACGGACCAGACUCCUACGGGAGGCAGCAGUGAGGAAUAUUGGUCAAUGGGCGAAAGCCUGAACCAGCCAUGUCGCGUGCAGGAAGACGGCCCUAUGGGUUGUAAACUGCUUUUGUAUGGGAAGAAACGACAGUACGUGUACUGUUUUGCCGGUACCAUACGAAUAAGGAUCGGCUAACUCCGUGCCAGCAGCCGCGGUAAUACGGAGGAUCCAAGCGUUAUCCGGAUUUAUUGGGUUUAAAGGGUGCGUAGGCGGGAGAUUAAGUCAGUGGUGAAAGUUUGCGGCUCAACCGUAAAAUUGCCAUUGAUACUGGUUUUCUUGAGUACAGUUGAGGUAGGCGGAAUGUGGUGUGUAGCGGUGAAAUGCUUAGAUAUACCACAGAACACCGAUUGCGAAGGCAGCUUACUAAGUUGUGACUGACGCUGAAGCACGAAAGCAUGGGGAUCAAACAGGAUUAGAUACCCUGGUAGUCCAUGCCGUAAACGAUGAUCACUAGCUGUUUGCGAUAUAUUGUAAGUGGCAAAGGGAAACCAUUAA
rnacentral:rRNA from 1 species